rnacentral:rRNA from 1 species
GGCGGCGUGCUUAACACAUGCAAGUCGAACGUGAUUUUUGUGGAAAUUCUUUCGGGAAUGGAAAUGAAAUGAAAGUGGCGAACGGGUGAGUAACACGUGAGCAACCUACCUUACACAGGGGGAUAGCCGUUGGAAACGACGAUUAAUACCGCAUGAGACCACAGAAUCGCAUGAUAUAGGGGUCAAAGAUUUAUCGGUGUAAGAAGGGCUCGCGUCUGAUUAGCUAGUUGGAAGGGUAAAGGCCUACCAAGGCGACGAUCAGUAGCCGGUCUGAGAGGAUGAACGGCCACAUUGGAACUGAGACACGGUCCAAACUCCUACGGGAGGCAGCAGUGGGGAAUAUUGCACAAAUGGGGGGAAACCCCUGAUGCAAGCGACCGCCGCGUGAAGCGAAGAAGGUUUUCGAAUUCGUAA